rnacentral:rRNA from 1 species
UGCCAGCAGCCGCGGUAAGACAGAGGAUGCAAGCGUUAUCCGGAAUGAUUGGGCGUAAAGCGUCUGUAGGUGGCUUCUUAAGUCUGCUGUCAAAUCCCAGGGCUUAACCCUGGCCAGGCGGUGGAGACUACUAAGCUUGAGUACGGUAGGGGCAGAGGGAAUUUCCGGUGGAGCGGUGAAAUGCGUAGAGAUCGGAAAGAACACCAAAGGCGAAGGCACUCUGCUGGGCCGACACUGACACUGAGAGACGAGAGCUAGGGGAGCGAAUGGGAUUAGAUACCCUGGUAGUCCAAGGGCGAAUUCCCGGCGCGCUAAAUU